UAGAAUAUGGUGUAAUAGGUAGCACGGAGGAUUUUGAGUUCUUAGGAAUAGGUUCGAGUCCUAUAAUUCUAG
rnacentral:tRNA from 1 species